rnacentral:rRNA from 1 species
UUGGUGACCAGCGGAGGGAUCAUUACCGAGUUUACAACUCCCAAACCCAAUGUGAACGUUACCAAACUGUUGCCUCGGCGGGAUCUCUGCCCCGGGUGCGUCGCAGCCCCGGACCAAGGCGCCCGCCGGAGGACCAACCAAAACUCUUAUUGUAUACCCCCUCGCGGGUUUUUUACUAUCUGAGCCAUCUCGGCGCCCCUCGUGGGCGUUUCGAAAAUGAAUCAAAACUUUCAACAACGGAUCUCUUGGUUCUGGCAUCGAUGAAGAACGCAGCGAAAUGCGAUAAGUAAUGUGAAUUGCAGAAUUCAGUGAAUCAUCGAAUCUUUGAACGCACAUUGCGCCCGCCAGUAUUCUGGCGGGCAUGCCUGUCCGAGCGUCAUUUCAACCCUCGAACCCCUCCGGGGGGUCGGCGUUGGGGAUCGGCCCUUUACGGGGCCGGCCCCGAAAUACAGUGGCGGUCUCGCCGCAGCCUCUCCUGCGCAGUAGUUUGCACACUCGCAUCGGGAGCGCGGCGCGUCCACAGCCGUUAAACACCCCAAACUUCUGAAAUGUUGACCUCGGAUCAGGUAGGAAUACCCGCUGAACUUAAGCAUAUCAAUAAG